ACAAACUUAGUGACGAAGAGAGUAGUCCUGCUUGAGGCUUAUAGCGACCUAGUGGUGGUGAAAGACUAGGAGGGAGAGCAUGAUGAACCGCACUUCUGAAAGGUUUGCCUGAAUGAGUAGGGCAAAAGGUUUUCCGCCUUAAGGAUAGAGAGGAUUCUAAGGAAUCAAGAAGAGUGGUACCGCGUACUUAUUACGUCUCUUGC
rnacentral:ncRNA from 1 species